GUGACGGCUGCGUGCGGCGGGGAUCAUGGCUGCUCGCAGAGCUCUGCACUUCGUAUUCAAAGUGGGAAACCGCUUCCAGACGGCGCGUUUCUAUCGGGACGUCCUGGGGAUGAAGGUGGAGUCUCGCUCUGUUGCCAGGCUAGAGUGCAGUGGCGCGAUCUCGGCUCACUGCAAGCUCAGCCUCCCGGGUUCACACCAUUCUGCCUCAGCCUCCCGAGUAGCUGGGACCACAGGUUCUGCGUCAUGAGGAAUUUGAAGAAGGCUGCAAAGCUGCCUGUAAUGGGUAUGAUACCUUGUUUCUUAAAAUCUCCUUUAGGCUCUGACAACACCCGGAUAACAGAAGACAGUUUCUCAAAAUGAGUAUAAAGCAGUGGAAUUAAUUAAGGAGGCAGUAAAUUAGGGAAGCAACUUCAGGAACAUCGGGAACACGUACUCUGUUUCUCUGCACUCUCACAGUGAGUAUAAAGCAGUGGAAGUAAUUAAGAAGGCCAUAAAUUAGGGAGGCAACUUCAGGAACGUCAGGAACAUACACUCUGUUUUCUCUGCACUCUCAUACAACACUUGUGGC
rnacentral:sRNA from 1 species